AGAGUUUGAUCCUGGCUCAGGACGAACGCUGGCGGCGUGCCUAACACAUGCAAGUCGAGCGAUGAAACCCUUCGGGGUGGAUUAGCGGCGGACGGGUGAGUAACACGUGGGUAACCUGCCUCAAAGAGGGGGAUAGCCUCCCGAAAGGGAGAUUAAUACCGCAUAACAUUAUUUUUUCGCAUGAAGAGAUAAUCAAAGGAGUAAUCCGCUUUGAGAUGGACCCGCGGCGCAUUAGCUAGUUGGUGAGGUAAUGGCUCACCAAGACGAUGAUACGUAGCCGACCUGAGAGGGUGAUCGGCCACAUUGGGACUGAGACACGGCCCAAACUCCUACGGGAGGCAGCAGUAGGGAAUCUUCCGCAAUGGACGAAAGUCUGACGGAGCAACGCCGCGUGAGUGAAGAAGGUUUUCGGAUCGUAAAACUCUGUUGUCAGAGAAGAACAAGUCGGAGAGUAACUGCUCCGGCCUUGACGGUAUCUGACCAGAAAGCCACGGCUAACUACGUGCCAGCAGCCGCGGUAAUACGUAGGUGGUAAGCGUUGUCCGGAUUUAUUGGGCGUAAAGCGAGCGCAGCGGUUCCUUAAGUCUGAUGUGAAAGCCCACGGCUCAACCGUGGAAGGUCAUUGGAAACUGGGGAACUUGAGUGCAGAAGAGAGAGUGGAAUUCCAUGUGUAGCGGUGAAAUGCGUAGAUWUWUGGAGGAACMMCCAGUGGCGAAGCGACUCUCUGGUCUKUAACUGACSCUGAGCUCGAAGCGUKGGGAGCAAACAGGAUUAGAUUACCUGGUAGUCCACGCCGUAAACGAUGAGUGCUAAGUGUUGGAGGUUCMCCUUUCRUGCUGCAGCUAACGCAUUAAGCACU
rnacentral:rRNA from 1 species